GACGAACGCUGGCGGCGUGCUUAACACAUGCAAGUCGAACGAAAGGAGGGAAAGAGCUUGCUCUUUCCGGAAUUGAGUGGCAAACGGGUGAGUAACACGUAAACAACCUGCCUUCAGGAUGGGGACAACAGACGGAAACGACUGCUAAUACCGAAUAAGUUCCAAGGGCCGCAUGGCCCAUGGAAGAAAAGGUGGCCUUUACCUGUAAGCUAUCGCCUGAAGAGGGGUUUGCGUCUGAUUAGCUGGUUGGAGGGGUAACGGCCCACCAAGGCGACGAUCAGUAGCCGGUCUGAGAGGAUGAACGGCCACACUGGAACUGAGACACGGUCCAGACUCCUACGGGAGGCAGCAGUGGGGAAUCUUCCGCAAUGGGCGAAAGCCUGACGGAGCAACGCCGCGUGAGUGAUGACGGCCUUCGGGUUGUAAAACUCUGUGAUCCGGGACGAAAAGGCAGAGUGCGAAGAACAAACUGCAUUGACGGUACCGGAAAAGCAAGCCACGGCUAACUACGUG
rnacentral:rRNA from 1 species